rnacentral:rRNA from 1 species
CACGUAGGGUGCGAGCGUUGUCCGGAAUUAUUGGGCGUAAAGAGCUCGUAGGCGGUGUGUCGCGUCGGCCGUGAAAACCUGCAGCUUAACUGUGGGCUUGCGGUCGAUACGGGCAUCACUGGAGUUCGGCAGGGGAGACUGGAAUUCCUGGUGUAGCGGUGAAAUGCGCAGAUAUCAGGAGGAACACCGGUGGCGGAGGGCGGGGUCUCCUGGGGCCGGAUACUGACGCUGAGGAGCGAAAGCGUGGGGAGGCGAACAGGA